rnacentral:tRNA from 1 species
UAGCUCAGUUGGUAGAGCAUGGUGUUUGCAACGCCAGGGUUGUGGGUUCAUUUCCCAC